rnacentral:rRNA from 1 species
UACGAGUGCCCCAAGCGUUAUCCGGAAUUAUUGGGCGUAAAGGGUGUGUAGGUGGUUUUGUUAGUCUUCCGUAAAAUUCUUCGGCUUAACCGGGGCCUGCAGGGGAAACGGCAAACUAGAGGAUGCGAGAGGUUUGUGGAACUCAUGGUGUAGGGGUGAAAUCCGUUGAUAUCAUGGGGAACACCAAAAGCGAAGGCAGCAAACUGGCGCACUCCUGACACUGAAACACGAAAGCGUGGUAGCGAAUGGG